rnacentral:misc_RNA from 1 species
UCAACUUUCAAUUGUCUAUGAGUAGUGGCGAGUUAUCUGAUAGGAAGAAGGUAUCUCUUGGUACACAGCCAAUAACACUUCGUACAUUUUCUUCGAAGGAUACCACCCACGUAUUUGCUGCAUCAGAUCGACCAACUGUAAUCUACAGCAGCAAUAAGAAGUUACUUUACAGUAAUGUAAAUUUGAAAGAAGUCAGUCACAUGUGUCCCUUCAAUACAGCUGCUUUUCCAG